UACGUAGGGGGCAAGCGUUGUCCGGAAUUAUUGGGCGUAAAGGGCUCGUAGGCGGUUCGUCGCGUCGGGAGUGAAAACACCGGGCUUAACUCGGUGCUUGCUUUCGAUACGGGCAGACUAGAGGUAUGCAGGGGAGAACGGAAUUCCUGGUGUAGCGGUGAAAUGCGCAGAUAUCAGGAGGAACACCGGUGGCGAAGGCGGUUCUCUGGGCAUGUCCUGACGCUGAGGCGCGAAAGCCAGGGGAGCGAACGGG
rnacentral:rRNA from 1 species